GUUUACUGAUGACCUCCCAUUUGUGCCAUUGUAUCUGGUCAUAGGAGCCCUGUGAUGGAACCCAAGAGCUAGAU